rnacentral:rRNA from 1 species
UACAGAGGUCCCGAGCGUUGUUCGGAUUCACUGGGCGUAAAGGGUGCGUAGGCGGUCGUGCAAGUCGGAUGUGAAAUCUCAGGGCUCAACCCUGAAACUGCAUUCGAUACUGCGUGGCUAGAGUGCUGGAGAGGAGACUGGAAUUUACGGUGUAGCAGUGAAAUGCGUAGAUAUCGUAAGGAAGACCAGUGGCGAAGGCGAGUCUCUGGACAGCAACUGACGCUGAGGCACGAAGGCCAGGGGAGCAAACGGG